ACGUAUACAUAUAUGUCAAUUUAUGUAUAUAUACACAUAUAUAUAUAUACAUACACCGCAUUUAUAUUUUACAAAAUUAUGACUUUACGUAUAAAUAAUUUGACAUAAUUUGAGUGUUCUUUUGACAUUCAACAUCUACCUAUAUUAUGAGCACUUUGCCACAUUAUUAAAAACUCUCCUAAAACUUUUAAAAUCAUGUGGAAACAACAUAUUGUAGCCAUUCUCUCACGGGUGGAUAUUUAUGCGUUUUCACCGUUAAUGUGACGUUGAACAAUUCUGUACAUAAGUCUUAGCAUCUCUCUGAUGAUUUUCUGAGGGUAGGGCCUUAGACGCGGAAUUUAAGGGGUUAAAUAUUUCAAGGCUGAUAAACACUGCCAAAUUGCUCUGCAGAGCGAUUCUGAAUUUAUUCCUAUCAGCACUGUGUGACCGUGUCCAUUUCUCCCUGGCCACCACUGUGUUUUAACAUUUAAAAAAUGAUCAUGAACAGUUGUAUGUGUCUUAUGACAUGAACACUCCAUUGAGGCACUGACAUGGAGACUUUAAAAGCAGCAGAGCCCAAGGCUAUGGUUACUGCUUGCUUUUUCUUUUUGGCUACCCCCUGGUUCCUCAAAAGGAUGUAAGGGAACAGAAGCCAGCAGUGCCCCAACAGGUGUCUACUUGUUUACAAAUGAAGUGUUUGCAAAUUACAAUGGAUGUUAAUGAAUUCUUACAGUAAAUGUAAAUCUUACAGUAAAAUGAGUAUGAGUAAUCACGGUCUGAUUAUCUCUGGUAAUUCAUAUUUUCAUAUACCAUUUUGCUUAAAGAAUCUUGCCUGAGGAUUUAAUACCUAUAAAAAGGAAGAGAAACUUAGAAAGACGUUACUACCUUGGAAAUGAAGACCUUAACAGAGUACCCCCCCGCCCCCAGCCAGUACUGUUUCACUUCAACCACCUUGGCUGUGAAUGGGAGGGGUCUCAGAAGACGUCCUGGAGCCAGUCUCCACGUGCCUGGAUCUCUUGGUAAAUCACACCCUGUGGCUGUGUGUGCUACCUUGAAUAGCAGCAUCUCUCCAGCCUCCCCUUGGGACAGUACAUGCACUGGCAUCUCUGAAAGAGGGGCCCGGAUGCUCAAAUGCUAGGCCAUAAACAGCCUCAGACAAACCACACACGCCAUGCACUAAUGCAGAAUCUGAUGGGAACAGCCGGUAUGGACCAACAGCACGGCCUGGCCCACUGAAGCAGAUGUCUGAAGCAGACAGAAACACCCUCCCUUGCCACUGUAACUAAGGCGUGACCAAUGCACAGAAUCGACACAGUCAAACCAGCUGCCCCAGAUGCUCCCGUCCACGGAGGCGUGGUUCAGUGCAAUCACCAGAUGAAUUUCGCUUGCAACACUGGUCGUCUGUUAAUCUACAGCACAAUCACUGACUGUCAAAGGAAGUUUUGUAAGAAGUUCCCAGCAGGAAAGGAAAAAAAGAAAGUUCACAAAAAGAAAGGAAAUGGACCCAUAUUUUAAAUCACUAGUUGCUACGGUGAUCUGUGACCGGUGAUCUUUGCUGUUACUAUUGUGACUGUUCUGAGGCCCCACGAACCACACCCACACAAGAUGGUGAACUUAGCAACUGCUGGGUGUGUUUGACUGCUGCACCUCCCUGCACAGCAUCUUCCUGUCCUCGGCAAACGUCACUGUCGUCUUAUCCUAGGAAACGGCCACGGCCACCCCCACCUUCAGCGACCACCGCCCUGAUCAGUCAGCAGCCACCAACAUGGAGGCAAAGACCCUCCACCAGCAGAUGACUCACCGAGACCUUCGACAGUGGUUGGCAGUUUUUGCAAUAAAGCAUUUUAAUAUUAAGGAUUCUACCAGGCCCCCCCAUCCGUCCUCCGCUCCCUACAAGUGGCUGCCCAGGACCCCAUCUGCACAGAGGGAACAAAACCAGUAACCAGUGGCCAAGAAUAGAGGUGACCACGAGGGCCGGCCAGAAACCCUCAGACUGAGCUCCAGGGAGCCACGGGAGUCACAACUGCACAGACCUUUCAGGAGGACAAGGAAGGAGGGCCAGGUGGAAGUGUGUGGCCCGACCUGCGGCCAGAGUGAAGCCAGCUCCCUACACCCAAGGCCAGCAAGCCGGCGUCCACCCCACACCCGGGAGCUAAGGCUUUCGUAAAAGGUUUGGUGGGAAGGAAGCUUCAACUAAUCCAACUAUUUCAAACCUAACUGAAUGUCUGCUAUGCACAAGGCCCUGUGCUGGGCAAGACAAUACUCAGUAUAUCCCGUUUCAGACCAGCCACCUUUCAAGGACUCAGCAGCCACAGCGCCAGUGGCAUCUGUAUCGGACUUACCCCUCCUGUCAUGCUGACCCGGAUUCAGUUGCGCUCUCUGCUGGCUGCUGUUAAGAAUGGGUGUGGCAGUUACAUCGCUAAUAAGCUUGUUCAAAUGUCCUGAGGGACUCUACCGUGUUUCCAGCGUCGUUCUAAGACGUGGUCACACAAAGAUGAAUGACAAGUACAUCUUGCCCGAGAAGACCACCGUCUGGCGUGAGAACGAGAUAUGUAAACAGUUACCGUACAAGGCGUAAAAGAUCUAUGUACAGAUUGCCGUAGGGACCAACAGUUCCAUCUGGAGGAACCAAGAAAAGCUUCAGAGAGGAGCAGCUGUCUGAAGAACAUAGAGCCCUUUAUGGAUGGGGAAACUGAGGCUCAAAGAGGCGAGAUGACGUGCCCAAAGUCAAAAGAGAAGGUGAACCUGAAUCCAGAUUUUCUCUCAGUCACUAUACCCGGGAUGCCACGGCUGACCACGCACCACGUUGGGCGCCUUAGAAAUGGCGGAUGAUUUAGCCACUUGACUCGCGCAGGAAGCUGAGGUCUGGAGUUCUACUCCAUGCCCAUCAGUAAGUAUUAAAUUCCUAUCUUGAAAGAGGGUUGGACAUGACUUAAAAGGUAUUCAGACAGUAAAGUUGUUUGGUUUUUUAUUUGGUGGUGGUGGGGUGUGCGUGUGUGUGUGCGUGUGUGUGUGUGUGUGUGUGUGUGUGUUUUAGGAACAUCCAUCUUGCAAGCCGUGAAGAUAAUACUGUAGCUGUGAAAUUUGACCCCAAGCUUCCUGCAAGGAAAAAUAGACACCUGGAGCCACUGGAGUUUGAGGUGUUUUGUCAUGUAGCAGCAGAUACCCGAAAAAUGGACACCUGGGAAGGAGACGGAGGAAAUGUAAGCCUCACACACCAGAUUCCUCCUGAGGGAGACAAGGUGCAGGCCCGAGUUCACAGCAAAUAAAUGCGAACCAGAGGAGACAUCGGAUGGGCGUUCAGGGACAGCACCGAGAACCAUGCAGAGAGUCGGACACGAACACGGAAGGGCCAGGAGCAAGGGUGUCCCUGUGCAGCAUUAACCAGGAAGCCUGCUCUCCCAGGAUGCACCCGUACGUGAUGAGGAAGCAUCUGGAGCUACUCUGGACGCCCCAGACCUCAGGUCUCCCAUCUCAAAGCCUCGUGUAUCUCUUGAGUUACGAGGAAAGGCCAAUAUGGGAUAACAUCUCUGAUUUCUUGUGAGCCUGAUAGAAGGAUCUCGCAUUUGGGAUUAUCUAAGGCCACCAUGUGCCCUUGGAGCCACCAUGCUGCGAGGAAGCCUAAUCACAUGGGGAGGCUCACGUGGAAAGAAAACAAGGUUCUGGGCCCUCAAGUCCAACGAGCUCCCAGCCAACAGCCAGCAUCAACUUGCCAGCCACGUGAGUGAGCCCUUCUUGGAAAGAGAUCCUCUAGUCCUAGUCAAGACACCCCAGAUGAUUCUGGGAGGAGCAGACACGACCAUUUCCUGCCAAGUCCUGCCCACGUUCCAGAUUCAUGAGAAAAACAAGUAAUCGUUCAAGCCGCUGGGUUUGGGGCUGGUUUCUUACACUGUAUAUUACUGUGUAACUAUCCAUGAGCAACACCCAUGUAACUAUCACCACCUCUAGAUAAAGAAAAUUUCUGUUAGCCCAGAAGUUUCCCUCAGGCACCCUUCCAGUCAACCACCCCAACCAGCAAAAGGUAAUUGCUCCUUUGACCUCUAGCAACACAUAUGACUUUUGCCUAUUGUGAAGCUUCAUAUAAAUGGAAAUGUGAUGUGUUUUUAUGUUUUAUGUAUUGAGCUUCUUUAGCUCAAUAGGUUUAUGAAAUUAAUUCAGGUUGUUUCAGGAGUGGGGUUUAUUCUUUUUCAUCCAUUAUACGAAUAUACCACCAUUUAUCUCUUCUACUAUUGGUAAUCAUUUGGCCAUUUAUUUUUUUAUUAUUUUAUAUAUACUGUAUAUUUUUAAAGUUUUUUGUUUACUUAU